UUAAAAAGCUCGUAGUUGGAUUUCUGGAUGGAGCGACCGGUCGGGCAUUAAUUUGUCUGCACUGGAGUCGGUUCCGUCCAUCCUCUUGGAAAGUGCGUGGGGCAUUAAGUUGUCUGGCGUAUGAUCCAAGUCGUUUACUGUGAAAAAAUUAGAGUGUUUAAAGCAGGCCUUCGCCUUGAAUACAUUAGCAUGGAAUAAUAAGAUAGGACUUUGGUCUAUUUUGUUGGUUUGCAGACCGAAGUAAUGAUUAAUAGGGAUAGUUGGGGGUAUUUAUAUUCCGAUGUCAGAGGUGAAAUUCUUAGAUUUUCGGAAGAUAAACUUAUGCGAAAGCAUUUACCAAGGAUGUUUUCAUUAAUCAAGAACGAAAGUUAGGGGAUCGAAGAUGAUUANAUACCAUCGUANUCUUAACCAUAAACUAUGCCAAUUANAGAUUGGAGGUCCUUUCUUUUAUGACUCCCUUUCAGCACCUUAUGANAAAUCAAAAUUUUUGGGUUCCCGGGGGGA
rnacentral:rRNA from 1 species